AGUGAACGCUGGCGGUAGGCCUAACACAUGCAAGUCGAACGGCAGCACAGUAAGAGCUUGCUCUUACGGGUGGCGAGUGGCGGACGAGUGAGGAAUACAUCGGAAUCUACUUUUUCGUGGGGGAUAACGUAGGGAAACUUACGCUAAUACCGCAUACGACCUACGGGUGAAAGCAGGGGAUCUUCGGACCUUGCGCGAUUGAAUGAGCCGAUGUCGGAUUAGCUAGUUGGCGGGGUAAAGGCCCACCAAGGCGACGAUCCGUAGCUGGUCUGAGAGGAUGAUCAGCCACACUGGAACUGAGACACGGUCCAGACUCCUACGGGAGGCAGCAGUGGGGAAUAUUGGACAAUUGGCGCAAGCCUGAUCCAGCCAUACCGCGUGGGUGAAGAAGGCCUUCGGGUUGUAAAGCCCUUUUGUUGGGAAAGAAAAGCAGCAGGUUAAUACCCCGCUGUUCUGACGGUACCCAAAGAAUAAGCACCGGCUAACUUCGUG
rnacentral:rRNA from 1 species